rnacentral:lncRNA from 1 species
UCGCUGGUCUCACAUGAAGGUCUCCCAGGAGGGUCAGGAUAUAGAAACACUUCAGCAUCUUUGGAGAAAAACAUCUAUAAAUCAUAAUCUACAUUUAAGUAGAAUUUGCAAUGUAUUUAAUCAGUUGUAAUGAGGCCCGAUUUAUAUAGAAAACUGAACAGAAAUUGGAAACCUCAUUUUGGGUGGUUUGGAGGCCAACAGAGGUGGGAUUGCCUCUUACUGCACCUUCUCUGGUGCACAGGGCAUUGAGAGACUCCAGGAGGGGCUUUGCCAUCUUUUAUUCAUUUAUGCCCCUGUUGUAAAACAGAGGUCAUACUCUAUCUUUGUAUGCUUUCUGUUUGUAUCUCAUUCUGCUAGAUGCUGAGAGAUAAAGAGAUAUAUGAAAUAAGGAAUUCUGUCUCCAGAGAUCUUCAAUCCGGCUGGGGGUGUCAGACAAGGGCUGGUUAAAUGGGUGUCUUUUGUAGCUGUUCAAGGCAGCCAAAAGUAGGGCAUGAUUAAUUGUUUAAUGAUAAAUGAGACAGAAAAUACAGGACUGUAGGAAAUGAAUGGGACAAAAAAUGCAGGACUGUAGGAAGCCUCAGGGAGAGCCCCCUAGGGUUUUCCAAGCCAGAUCUGGACUCUAGAAGGAUGCCUAAGAUUGGGACAGAUCAGAGAGGCUUGGGUGGGCUCCAGUGACUCACUGGAGCUGCAGAGGAAGAUUCAUUCCUACAGGUGUGAGGAGGCUGCAGGCUGCCCUACAGCUGGAAAGGGACAUCUCCACUGCAUGCCAGGGCCAGGGGCUUGUGCAAACUGGGAAGCCAAGCAGUUUUGAGCUGGUGGAUGAUAUGUUCAAAUAGUGUUUUUAAGACAAUUUAUUGGCCACAGUAGGUAGAAUGACUAGAAUGAGAGACUGCAGUGGAGAAGCCAUCAAGGAGGAUGUUAAGAGAAUAUCACAAGAGAAUCAAGAGAUGGGGUGUGGAUGGGGAGGACAUGGAGGGGCAGAUGUGCCCCACAUUGUAAACCAGCCAGGUGAGCUGCAGGCUGCUCAUCAGGUUUCAGUGCCUGCACUGGGUUGGACCAGCGGGUCUAAGGACUUGACCCCAGCUGCACAAUUCUGAGGCUCUCUGACAAGGAGUGGGGGGUGAGUUGAUGGCAGGUAGAAAUUGGUGUCAGGGUGAAGGAGGGGAUAAGGGGUGAUGGCCCUGGAAGGGGGUCAGGGGAGCGACUUAUUUCAGGCAUUCUGAUGUGAUGUGUUGGGGGGCAUGCAAGGAGAACUGUCCAUCAGAUCCAACAGGAAGAGGAUGAAGGGGAAAGAAAUGGCCAUUGGAUGUAUCUUUUAGAAGCCCAUUGGGGCCUUCAAGAGUGUGAGGUGUGUAGGGUAGCAGAGUUGUGUGUCCGUGGUCAGGGGCCCAGGAAGAGAGAUGGCACACUUACCUGGGUAAUUUGAGGAGGGUUUAAUAAAGGGAUUGUGUACAGGGGUGUAAGCAUGGCAGCCAGCCUGCAGGGACCAGAGGAGGGAGCUAUAACCAGAACCUGAGAGAGGCCUGUGUAGAGAGGGGCCCUGCAGAGUGAGCCUAGGGUCCCAGUGUCCUGACCCCGCUCCCCUCUUGCCAGGAGUUAAGAGGGCCAUUGAUGAAGUCCCUCCCUACCACGUGUCAGCCUCCUGGAGCUCAGGGCCUGGUGACAAAGGGAGGAGAGGGGAUUGGGGAGGGGCAAGCAGAAGACACCGCAACCAAGCUGCAGGGUGAGGGAGACAGGGAUGAUGUAGCCCAGACACGGCGGCAGGUUAAUGGAGAUGGUGGAAGCAGAAAGGGGUGGGUCCUGGGCAGCCCAGCAGGUGAUGGUUGGAGGCUAGGAGCACAGCUGUGGUGCCUGUAAUGGGAGGUGGGGGGAGGGGAGUCGGGGGUGACUGGAGAGCAGCCAAGAUGGGAAAGGGGUAGGUUUGAGUCACAGGAUAUGUCACUGGUCAGUCCUCCUUCCAGCAGAAAAAAAAAGAAAAGAAAAGAAAAAGAAAACUCAUAAUUGAAGAGAAAAGAAGAAAUAUACUUGAGAUACCCAUGAAGACCAAGUUAUAAUGAUGAAGAGUACACAGUGAGCUCCCAGGAAUUGAUGAGCCUUUCUGUCCUAUGAUUUGCUUUUUUGAAAUCAACAGGAAUGAGAAUUUGCAAACUCUCCCUCCCCUUAGUUUAUUUUCUCUGAAAGUCUGCCCCAACUGGUACAUGAGAAUAAUUUCCUUAAACAAGUAGCCUGGUGGGAAUCCAUUCUUCAGAAUCUGCAUGUUAGCAAGGUUUGCCCUGGAGCAGGGCCCCUCAAGCUUUCGUGUGCACUCGUGGGGAUCUUGUUCAGUGUCUGUGCCAAUUCAGCAGGUCUGGGGAGCCCAAGAUCUGCAUUUCUAACCAGCUCUCCAGUGAAGAGCUGUCGGCCUCUGGAGCCACUGUGAGUAGUGAGGUCCUAGGAGACUUUUUCUAAUGAUUAGGAUAAAACAAACAAGAGCCUAGAUGGUUGCAGGUAUAAGAACCAGAUGGUAAACAUCUACAUGAAAAAAACACACCGCGUAGCAAUGAGCUUGCUUCUAUCCUGCCGCAUCGCCCUCUGCUGCCCUUCUGAAUAAAUA